rnacentral:rRNA from 1 species
GAUGAACGCUGGCGGCGUGCCUAAUACAUGCAAGUCGAACGAAACUUCUUUAUCACCGAGUGCUUGCACUCACCGAUAAAGAGUUGAGUGGCGAACGGGUGAGUAACACGUGGGCAACCUGCCCAAAAGAGGGGGAUAACACUUGGAAACAGGUGCUAAUACCGCAUAACCAUAGUUACCGCAUGGUAACUAUGUAAAAGGUGGCUAUACUACCGCUUUUGGAUGGGCCCGCGGCGCAUUAGCUAGUUGGUAGGGUAAAGGCUUACCAAGGCAAUGAUGCGUAGCCGAAUUGAGAGGUUGAUCGGCCACAUUGGGACUGAGACACGGCCCAAACUCCUACGGGAGGCAGCAGUAGGGAAUCGUCCACAAUGGGCGAAAGCCUGAUGGAGCAACGCCGCGUGGGUGAAGAAGGUCUUCGGAUCGUAAAACCCUGUUGUUAGAGAAGAAAGUGCGUGAGAGUAACUGUUCACGUUUCGACGGUAUCUAACCAGAAAGCCACUGCUAACUACGUG